UACGAAGGGGGCUAGCGUUGCUCGGAAUCACUGGGCGUAAAGCGCACGUAGGCGGUUUGUUAAGUCAGGGGUGAAAUCCUGGAGCUCAACUCCAGAACUGCCUUUGAUACUGGCGAUCUCGAGUCCGGGAGAGGUGAGUGGAACUGCGAGUGUAGAGGUGAAAUUCGUAGAUAUUCGCAAGAACCCCAGUGGCGAAGGCGGCUCACUGGCCCGGUACUGACGCUGAGGUGCGAAAGCGUGGGGAGCAAACAGG
rnacentral:rRNA from 1 species